UGGGACUGAGACACGGCCCAGACUCCUACGGGAGGCAGCAGUGGGGAAUAUUGCACAAUGGGCGAAAGCCUGAUGCAGCCAUGCCGCGUGUGUGAAGAAGGCCUUCGGGUUGUAAAGCACUUUCAGUUGUGAGGAAAGGUUAGUAGUUAAUAACUGCUAGCUGUGACGUUAGCAACAGAAGAAGCACCGGCUAACUCCGUGCCAGCAGCCGCGGUAAUACGGAGGGUGCGAGCGUUAAUCGGAAUUACUGGGCGUAAAGCGUGCGUAGGCGGUUUGUUAAGCAAGAUGUGAAAGCCCCGG
rnacentral:rRNA from 1 species